UACAUGUAAAUAAUCUCAGAGAUUUCUCCCUAUUCUUCUGCAAUACAUUCCGUAAGAAAUAUUAAAAUGAAGCCCUCAGGGCAGAUGCUUAUCGACAUAAAGAUCGAACAAUAUUCAUAGAAGAAAAUCAAGUGUUUCUAUUUACAAGAUCCUCGAGAUGCGGUAUAUAACUAAAAAUUUGCAAUUAAAAAUCAAGCAAAAUCCCUAAGGUGCCCACAGACUUUGGGGCGAAGGGGUGAACGGGAAUGGGGAAGGAAGGGAGAGGAGAGAAAGGAAGAAAUCAAAAACAGGUGUUAAAGGGAUCAACUGUAAAGGGAUGCCGACUCAAAAGGUAGAGUGGCGUGGGUAGUAAAAACAGAACUAAAAUAAGGGAGCGCCGUGGAAAAGAAGAUCCCGGUGUACUUAUACCCAAAACAGGAAAUCUAAUCUAAUCUAACUAAAGACAACGUCUAAAACCUGAAAUAAAAUCUCUCAAGAAAACUACUAGGCAAUGGGAAAACACAAAAAAAAUAUCAUCUGCAAGCUCUGUUGUAUACCCUAAUUACAAUAAAAUAAAAAAUUAAUUCCAUAUUUUUGGUGUGACGUUAUAGUAUCAGUUUAUUCAAUCUUAUACUUUAUUUGUUUAACUAAUGAUAAAAAUGGGGUAUUUCGUAAUUAUAAAGCUGUUUUACUUACAAAUUAAUAAUCAUAAUCAACAUUUAGUGCAAGAUUACCUUCGAAAUAGGCCUAUUUUACCCAGUUUACAGACAGUCAAAUCAAGGCCUAAAUGAUAAUGACUUUAAAGGAUAUUUAUGCUAUAUGCUAACACCUAAGUUGCUUUUAUCAAGAGGUGAUUGUCUUUUAUACUUGAGAACUUUAAGUGAAGCUGCUGGUAUUGUCGAACGUCAAGCAGGUCUCAGGAACGGGAAGAAACUUGACAGAGAUUCACAAAGUUAAAGCUAUAAAUCCUAAAAGAGACUUCUCUCUUGUGUGCUUGCUUGAAUAGUCCAAUGUAGUUCAAGAUAAAGCUUUGGAGACGGGAAGAAUCUUGCAAAAGUUGAGAGUAUGCAAAGACAUGGAGUGUGGACACGACUUCUUUGGUACUUGCUCUUCUAUGCAGCACAACAUCAAGGUUAGUGACAAAUACUCUAUUUUUCAAAUAGCCCCAAAAAAAGUAAUCUAAAGAGGAGAGGUUCGGAGACUUAGCUGGCCAUUCUAUGGUACCCCCUCUGCCUAUCCAUCUAUUAGGAAAAAUAAAAGUUAAAUAAUUACGUACAUGUCGACUAUAGGAGCUCCAC